UACAUGUGGGGCAAGCGUUGUCCGGAAUUACUGGGCGUAAAGAGCUCGUAGGUGGUUUGUCGCGUUGUCCGUGAAAACUCACAACUCAAUUGUGGGCGUGCGGGCGAUACGGGCAGACUGGAGUACUGCAGGGGAGACUGGAAUUCCUGGUGUAGCGGUGGAAUGCGCAGAUAUCAGGAGGAACACCGGUGGCGAAGGCGGGUCUCUGGGCAGUAACUGACGCUGAGGUGCGAAAGCGUGGGGAGCAAACAGG
rnacentral:rRNA from 1 species